rnacentral:lncRNA from 1 species
GAUAAAGAAAAUAAAAAUAGAAAAAAAAUAGAAAAGAAAAAAAUGAAUGAGAAAAAUAGAAGGAUGUCAAUCAAUACAUACUCCUUCUGAAAAAGAAAAGGAAAAUAGAAAAGAAAAAAAAAUGAAUGAAAAAAAUAGAAGGAUGUCAAUCAAUACAUACUCCUUCUAAAAAAGAAAAAAAAAGAAAAAAAAAGAAAGGAGAAGAGAAAACAAUUGCUAUAGAGUUG